AUGCCCAACCUCAACUUCAUCGAUCUCUAUGAGAACAACCUCGUUGGUGAGAUCCCGCGCCAGCUCUGCAACCUUCUCUCCGUCCGAUCGCUGGACAUGUUCCACAACCGUCUCACCGGGGAGCUCCCGAACUGCUGGUGCAACCUCCAGUCUCUGUGGUACCUGCGCCUGUCGAACAAUCUGCUCACCGGGGAGCUCCCGGACUGCUGGUCCAACCUGCAGGCUCUGGUGUUCAUGGACAUGUCCAACAACUACUUCUCAGGUGAAAUCCCGACCCCUAAGGCAACCCACAACUGCUCUCUCACGACACUAUAUCUUGCCAGAAAUGCCUUUGCUGGAGCCCUCCCACUCCUAGAGGGUUGCGACAAGCUCGUUAUCCUCGACCUCAGCAGCAAUAUGUUUAACAACACCAUUCCGCCGCAGCUUAGUGGCAUGCGCAGCCUCACCGACCUCCGGCUCUACAAUAACAACCUCGUCGGCAACAUCCCGCACCAGCUCUGCAGGCACCUCUCCAUCCAGACACUGGACCUGUCAAAUAACCGGCUCACCGGGGAUCUCCCGGACUGCUGGUGCAACUUCAAGGCUCUGAUGUUCAUGGACCUAUCGAACAACCAUCUCACCAGGAAGCUCCUGGACUGCUGGUGGAACCUGGAGGCUCUGAUUUUCAUGGAUCUAUCCAACAACUCCUUCUCAAGUAAAAUCCCCGCAGCUGUGGCAAGCCACAACUGCUAUCUUAGGUCUCUUUACCUUGCCGGAAAUGGCUUCAUUGGUGCCUUCCCGCCUGUUCUAGAGGGCUGCAACUCGCUGGACACCUUGGACAUGGGGAAUAACAAGUUCUUUGGUGUUGUCCCUCCAUGGAUCGGGACUCACAUCCCAUUGUUGAGAAUCCUUAGCCUCAAAUCAAACAAUUUCACUGGAGAAAUUCCUCUGGAGUUAUCACGCCUUUCAGAACUUCAGCUGCUGGACAUUUCAAACAAUAGCUUGACUGGCUCGAUUCCGCUAGCCUUCGGCAGCUUGACCUCCAUGAAGCAUCCACAAAAUCUAUCGACUACGGAACUGUCCAACGAGUGGAAAUACUAUGAUAGAAUCGACAUAAUCUGGAAGGGCCAUGAGCAGAAAUUUGGAAAAGCGAUCCAGUUAUUAACCGGUAUUGAUUUGUCGGGCAAUUUGUUGUCUCGGUGCAUUCCUGAAGAGCUAGCCAACCUUCAGGGCAUCCAAUUUCUAAAUCUGUCGAGAAACCAUCUAUCAUGUAGCAUUCCUGAAAACAUUAGUAGUUUGACUUUUCUCGAGUCCCUUGAUCUAUCAUCUAAUGGACUUACAGGAGCCAUUCCGUCGAGCAUCUCGAGCGUACCGUGGCUCACCACGUUGAAUGUCUCGAACAAUCUUUUAUCGGGCAAGAUACCCACCGGGAAUCAGCUUCGGACCCUGACUGACCCAUCAAUUUACUCCAACAAUUCUGGGCUCUGUGGAUUUCCUCUAAAUAUUUCAUGUACGAAUACUUCGCUUGCACCGGAUGAGAGAAAUGGUGAAGAGGAGGACCACUGGAUGUACUACUGUGUGAUUGUUGGGAUUGUGUCUGGUCUCUGGUUGUGGUUUGGGAUGCUCUUUACAGUUAAGUCCUGGAGAUGUGGUUUUGUUUCCUUUGUUGAUGGCAUGCAAUGGGCUGGCUGUCGUUGUCGGCUCCGUGAACGUCUCCAGCCGCGGCUCCGUCAGGUCCACCUCCUCCUGCUCCGCCGACCGCCAGCUCCGCCCCAUCGUCGUCAUCAUCGUCACUGGCAUCCCGACGUUAACCGUGACCUCUCCGGACAAGACGGCGCCCUUGGCGUUGCUGCCGUUCCUUCCGUGCAGGUGAUCGCGGCGAGGGCCGUCGUCGUCACCGUCCUGCCACAUCGAGCAUUCCCGCGGCCUCUCGGUUUGGAAGCCCGGGGCGAAGGCAACGGCGGCGGUGGGCAGGUGGUGCCGGCGGCGCUUGUCAGCGAGGGGCGCGAUGGUGGAGAGGAUCUGGACGACCUCAGUCAUGCGCCGGGUCCGGACCUCAGCGGCAACAGGUUCAACGGCUCCAUCCCGCCACAGCUUGGUGACAUGCCCAGCCUCGCCGCCCUAUCUCUCUACGAGAACAACCUCAUUGGUAAGAUCCCGCGCCAGCUAUGCAACCUUCUCUCCAUCCAGUCACUGGACAUGUCCAACAACCGACUCAUCUGGGAGCUUUCGAACUGCUGGUGCAACCUCCAGUCUUUGCGGUACAUGAGCCUGUCGGACAAUUGGCUCACCGGGCAGCUCCCGGACUGCUGGUGGAACCUCCAGGCUCUGGAGUCUGUGUUACUGUCCAACAACUCCUUCUCAGGUGAAAUCCCGGCGGCUAAGGCAAGCCACAACUGCUCUCUCAUAUCACUAUAUCUUGCCGGAAAUGCCUUUUUCGGAGCCCUCCCACUCCUAGAGCGCUGCGACUCGCUCGCUAUCCUCGACCUCAGCAGCAAUAUGUUUAACAACACCAUUCCGCCGCAGCUCAGUGGCAUGGGCAGCCUCACCGACCUCCGGCUCUACAAUAGCAACCUCGUAGGCAACAUCCCGCACCAGCUCUGCAGGCACCUCUCCAUCCAGAUACUGGACCUGUCAAAUAACCGGCUCACCGGGGAUCUCCCGGACUGCUGGUGCAACUUCCAGGCUAUGAUGUUCAUGGACCUAUCAGACAACCGUCUCACCGGCAAGCUCCCGGACUGCUGGUGGAACCUGGAGGCUCUGUUUUUCAUGGAUCUAUCCAACAACUCCUUCUCAAGUAAAAUCCCCGCAGCUGUGGCAAGCCACAC
rnacentral:rRNA from 1 species